GCAAAUUUCCACGCCUCCCCAAGGAAGGAAGUGCACAAAUGCCGGCGCAAGCAUGUAUUGUGUGAAAAUGAAGCCGAACGUGAGCUCCUGGUUAUGAACAGAGAGAGUGCUAUGCAAUUGGGACAAGCAGUCAGGACACCGCACAGUUGGUUUCCCAGCAUCCAAAUGUGGGGAUCCUGAACUGACUGGAAGUACAAUUUAAUUAAAGAGAUUUGCAGUGCCUGGC